rnacentral:rRNA from 1 species
CCUACGGGUGGCUGCAGUAGGGAAUAUUGCUCAAUGGGCGAAACCCUGAAGCAGCAACGCCGCGUGGAUGAUGCAGGUUUUCGGAUUGUAAACUCCUUUUGUUAGAGAAGAUAAUGACGGUAUCUAACGAAUUAGCACCGGCUAACUCCGUGCCAGCAACCGCGGUAAUACGUAGGAUGCGAGCGCUAUCCGGAUUUAUUGGGUUUAAAGGGUGCGUAGGCGGAAGGUUAAGUCAGCGGUAAAAUGUCGGGGCUAAACACCGGCCUGCCGUUGAGACUGGUCUUCUUGAGUGAGCGAGAAGUAUGCGGAAUGCGAGGUGUAGCGGUGAAAUGCAUAGAUAUCACGCAGAACACCGAUUGCGAAGGCAGCAUACCGGCGCUCAACUGACGCUGAGGCACGAAAGCGUGGGGAUCGAACAGGAGUAGAUACCCCGGUAGUC